CUCUUCCUCCUCAAGAUGGACCUCAACUCACUGAACUCUGGUUCACUCUUUUGGUCCCAGAGCUAAUUCUUUGGUUGUUUAAGGUUUAGCAUAGGAGACCCCAAAGCAGCAAGGUUCUGGCCCUGGUUCUGCCACUUGCCAGCUCCACGCCCUCAGAUCAGUGGCUUCAGAGCCUCAACGUGCUCAGCUGUGAAACAGGGACAGGGUGAGGCCUUCCCAGGUAUGAUCCACUGUGCCCAUCCUGGAUGCAGACUUUAAGCAGAGUCACAUCAACAAGAAGAGCUGUGAAGGUCAGGGCAUGACCCACAGAUGCCCAAACACUGCACUGGAGGUCCAGGAAGAUUCUGCUGACAACGCAACCCUGAGCCAAGAUCUGAAGGAUAAGAGGGAGCUUAUAACAUGGAAGAAGGAACAGUAUUCCUGGCAAGUGGAACAGCAUGUGCAAAGGAGUGAGCAGCUGACAGGGGAGCCACGAACAGCCUGGAGAGCUGAGCAUGGGCCUGCUCCACACUCCAGCGGGGCCCGAGGCCCCCGGGAACUCUACCCCUCCUGGCAGCCUCACAGAACCUGCUGCAUCCAUCUCAAAAGGCAUACCUCCUCCAGGAAGCCUUCCCCGCUGCUCAGAGGUCUUAAAUCCGGGGUCUGCACUCACAAACUGUGCAGCCUACACCAGCUUCUGGGGGACAGCAGAACACUGUGGGGGGCCUGGCACAGUCCCUGGCACACGGUAGGCACUCAUCGAGCCCCUGCCAGCCCCUCUACUCCUGACUUCUGAGGCAACAGGAAAUGACCCGCCACCUUGUUCUCACAGAGCCUCCCUGCCAGCCCAGAUGGUCACAAGGGCCUCCUGGGAUGCUGCCCACCUUGGCAGCCAGGCCCCUCCGGAGGGGCCAGUCUGGGCCUGACACCCCCGAACACCAACCCCCUGGGCAGAGCCUGCCUGUGCCUGGGUGAGGAACCCUGCAGUCUCCUUGCCACACAAGGCCUGGGUCUGCCUUGGGGCCCAGGCUGCACCCUCUCCGACCCCCAGGCCCAAUGUCUGACCUGUGCCCACCUGACUCAACCUGGCUACUGUUCAGCAAGUUUACAAAGUGUUCUCAGUCUGAACAGGAACCGUUUUCAAUCCUUUAUUUCAGAAAGGAGAGCCAGGAGAACUGGGGACUUAGAAAAUACAGAUCCUAAACUCAAAAGUCCCUGCCCCAGGCGUGCAGAGCCAGGGUCCUGGGGUUUUGUGCUGGGCAGGGGCUGCCCUGGGAGGGGGAAUACAGGGGGAGGCACUUUAGGACACCCCUUAGGCUGUGGAGGGUGUCAGCUGGGCCUUUGAAGCCACUAACCACUGGUUCCCAUCAUGGAGAGCCCUGUGUGGGGCACCCAAGGGGGUUUCCUCCUGGA